AGGAUAAACGCUGGCGGCGUGCAUGAGACAUGCAAGUCGAACGGACUUCUCGGGCUUGCUCGAGAAGUUAGUGGCGGACGGCUGAGUAACGCGUAGGUGACCUACCCCGAAGUGGGGAAUAACUGCCCGAAAGGGUGGCUAAUACCGCAUGUGAUCGUUCAUUCGGUUGAACGAUCAAAGCAGCAAUGCGCUUCGGGAGGGCCUGCGU
rnacentral:rRNA from 1 species